UACGGAGGAUGCAAGCGUUAUCCGGAAUGAUUGGGCGUAAAGCGUCCGCAGGUGGCAAUGUAAGUCUGCUGUUAAAGAGUGAGGCUCAACCUCAUAAGAGCAGUGGAAACUACAUAGCUAGAGUGCGUUCGGGGCAAAGGGAAUUCCUGGUGUAGCGGUGAAAUGCGUAGAGAUCAGGAAGAACACCGGUGGCGAAAGCGCGUUGCUAGGCCGCAACUGACACUGAGGGACGAAAGCUAGGGGAGCGAAUGGG
rnacentral:rRNA from 1 species